CAGCCGCCGCGGUAAUACGAAGGGUGCAAGCGUUACUCGGAAUUACUGGGCGUAAAGCGUGCGUAGGUGGUGGUUUAAGUCCGUUGUGAAAGCCCUGGGCUCAACUUGGGAAUUGCAGUGGAUACUGGGUCACUAGAGUGUGGUAGAGGAUAGUGGAAUUUCCGGUGUAGCAGUGAAAUGCGUAGAGAUCGGAAGGAACAUCUGUGGCGAAGGCGACUAUCUGGGCCAACACUGACACUGAGGCACGAAAGCGUGGGGAGCAAACAGGAUUAGAUACCCGUGUAGUCCCUGUCUCUUAUCA
rnacentral:rRNA from 1 species